rnacentral:rRNA from 1 species
CCUACGGGUGGCAGCAGUGAGGAAUAUUGGUCAAUGGCCGAAAGCCUGAACCAGCGAUGCCGCGUGAAGGUCAGUGCCCUAUGGGCGUUAAACUUCUUUUGUGCGGGAGCAAUAAUGGUCCCGUGUGGCCCCACGAGAUUACCGUACGAAUCAGCAUCGGCUCACUCCGUGCCAGCAGCCGCGGUAAUAAGGGGGAGGCAAGCGUUAUCCGGAUUUGUUGGGGUGAAAGGGUGCGUAGGCUGGGAGGUAAGUCAGCGGGGAAAUGCCCCCGCUCAACGGGGUGAAGUGCCAUUGAUACUGGCGUGCUGGAAUGCGGAUGAGGUGAGAGGAAUGUGUGGUGUAGCGGUGAAAUGCAUAGAUAUCAGACAGAACACCGGUUGCGAAGGCAUCUAACGAAGCCGUGAUUGACGCUGAGGCACGAAAGCGUGGGUAUCAAACAGGAUUAGAUACCCGAGUAGUC